rnacentral:rRNA from 1 species
UGAGCGGAGAUAUAUGGAGCUUGCUUUAUAUAACUUAGCAGCGAACGGGUGAGUUACACGUAGAUAAUCUAUCCUAUACUGGGGGAUAGCCCGAUGAAAGUUGGAUUAAUACCGCAUAUAGCUAUAUAGUUGCAUGAUUAUGUAGUGAAAGAUUUAUUGGUAUAGGAGGAGUCUGCGGCACAUUAGCUAGUAGGUGAGGUAAAGGCUUACCUAGGCGACGAUGUGUAGCCGGUCUGAGAGGAUGAACGGCCACAAUGGAACUGAGACACGGUCCAUACUCCUACGGGAGGCAGCAGAGGGGAAUAUUGCACAAUGGGGGAAACCCUGAUGCAGCAACGCCGCGUGAGUGAAGAAGGUUUUCGGAUUGUAAAGCUCUGUUAGCAGGGAAGAGGAAGGACGGUACCUGCAGAGGAAGCCACGGCUAACUACGUGCCAGCAGCCGCGGUAAUACGUAGGAGGCAAGCGUUGUUCGGAAUAACUGGGCGUAAAGGAUGCGUAGGCGGUUAAACAAGUUAUAUGUUAAAUAUAUAGGCUUAACCUGUAGAAAGCAUAUAAAACUGUUUAACUAGAGUGCAGGAGAGGUAAGUGGAGUUCCUAGUGUAGCGGUGAAAUGCGUAGAGAUUAGGAAGAACACCAGUGGCGAAGGCGACUUACUGGACUGUAACUGACGCUGAGGCAUGAGAGCAUGGGGAGCAAACAGGAUUAGAUACCCUGGUAGUCCAUGCUGUAAACGAUGGGUACUAGGUGUGGGUUGUGAAUAACAAUUCGUGCCGUCGCAAACGCAAUAAGUACCCCGCCU